AAAUAAAUAUUAAUAAGAAAAUUAUUAUUUUUUUUUAUAAAAAUAAUUUUAAAUUAUAAAAUUUUAGUAUGAUUAAGAACAAAUAGAUAAAUUAAAGUGAAAUAGUAUUGUAAAAGAAAAUUUAAAAAUUGAAAUUUUUUUGUUUAAAAGAAAAAAUUAUUUUUUGUACUUUGUGUAUCAAUGUUUAUUAAAUUGGUUAAAAAAUUUUAUUAUCUCUAAAUAAAUAGAGUUAAAUUGAUAAUUUUUUAAUGUGAAAUAAUUAUUAAGAAUAUUAAUUUAGAAAUGAAAAGUUAUUCGGGAUUUAUAUAUAUAGUUUUUUAAGAAAUAAAUUUAAUUUAUUUAAAUUUAAAUAUUAUAAUUUGUUUGAAUUAUUAUUAUUAGAAUUUAAAAAUUUUAAAUGGGAUAAGCUUUUUAAAAUAAUUUUAUAUGAAAAUAAUUGUAAUUAAAGUUAGGAUUAAUAUUAUCUUUAUUUUAUAUUAAAUUUAAUUAAAAAAAAAUUUAAUUUAAAUUAAUAUUUAAUAAUUUAUUAAAAUGAUUUUUUUAUUAAUUUAAAAAAUAUAAUUAUGAUAAAAUUAGUAUAAUUUAAUUAAUAAUUUUUAAAAAAAUAAAAAUUAAAUUAAAUAAUUCGACAAAUUAAUUAAGUUUAACUGUUUAACAAAAACAUUGUUUUUUGAAUUAAUUUAAGAUAAAAUCUGCCCCAUGAUAAUUUUAAAUGGCUGCAUAAUUUGUACUAAGGUAGCAUAAUCAAUAGUUUCUUAAUUAGAUUCUUGUAUGAAUGAUUUUAUAAGAUUUAAUUUGUUUCAAUUUAAAUUUUAAAAUUUUAUUUUUUAGUAAAAAAGCUAAAAUUUAUUUAAAAGACGAGAAGACCCUAUAAAUCUUUAUUAAAAAUUAUUUAAUGAGUUAAUAUUUUUUAAAUUAUUAAUUAAAAUUUAAUUUUAUUGGGGUGAUACGUAAAUUUAAAAAACUUUAAAUAAUAAUAACAUUAAUUUAUGAAUAUUUGAUCUUAAUUUUAGAAAAAAGAAUAAGUUACUUUAGGGAUAACAGCGUAAUUUAAUUUUUAAGGUCAAAUUGAAAUUUAAGAUUGCGACCUCGAUGUUGGAUUAAGGUAUAUAAAAAAAGUAGAAUUUUUAAUAAUUUAGUCUGUUCGACUAUUAAAAUCUUACAUGAUCUGAGUUCAAAUCGGGGUAACCCAGAUUGGUUUCUAUCUUUAAUUAAAAUAAUAUUUUUAGUACGAAAGGAAAAUAAUGUAAUAAAAAAUUUUUUAUCUAAAAAUUAAAUUAUAUUU
rnacentral:rRNA from 1 species